rnacentral:lncRNA from 1 species
GCUGAGGGCAGUAAAGUAGAAUUUCAAACGCUUGAUAGGUACUUUAGGGUCAGCUUCAUUUUUUAGAGAUCAGGUUUGGGAUUACAGGAAUAUAUAGACGUUGACAUGUUAGGAAAUACACACACACACACACACACUUUGGAUAGUACGACAAUUAGUUGGGUAUUUAAGUUGCAGAAGAUAGUUGCUCUUUCCACUACUAAGAAUGAGUAUGUUACUGUAUCUAAAGCUAGCAAAGCGAUGAUAGAUCUGUAGUCUUUUUUGGAUUGGGUAACAAGUAUAGGAAUAGUAUGUUGCAUGGUGACAAUCAAAGCGUUAUUGACUUAGCUAAGAUUCCUAUUUAUCAUGCAAGGACAAAGCAUCGACAUGUUCGUUAUUAUUUCCACAUAUCGGCUUUGAAGGAUGGAAUCUUAACACUAGAGAAGAUUCAAGAGAGUCAAAAUCUAGCUGAAAUGUUGACAAAGACUAUUUCGAUUGAGUUGAACUUUUAUUUUGAGGAAUGAGGAGUUGUUGCCGUUGCAGAAGAAUUAUUGAUGGUGAAUUAGUCUCCAAAUAAUAGAUUGUUAAUUUUUGUAGCCUAAUUGUUGUUUAACCCGAAUUAUUGCCACUUUGUAGAGUUAGUCACGAAUACACCUCAGCAGAGAGGUUGCCGUGGGGGUUGGAGGGGUUAAAUAACCCUCGACAAGAAUUUUAAAUUAGGACUAAUUAGGAAUUUAUAUUUUUGUAAAAUUAUAUGAAGGAAUAAGAGUCCUUGUAAAUUUUGGUUUUACCCUAAUUUAUCUUAUAAAUAGAGAGCAAUCUCUAGUCUUUAUGUAUUAUCAUCGAAUAGAGAGAAAUAGAGGUUAGAAGAGAUAUGAUUGACAUUUUCUUUGGUAAACCUUUUUCAUCAUAGUGAAUUACUGCUGUGGCGAGAGACAACGUGGUCUCACAUUGAAACGAACAUCUAUAAAUCUUACCUAUUCUUGAUUAUUUACUUUCUUUCUUUAAAUUGAUUGCUCUUGGUGGGUUAGAAUUAAGGUUUAUAAGUCUCAACUCAAUGCUCAACGCAAAGAAAAUAGAAUUAAACUACUUCACCUGAAUUUUUUUAACAUAAUGGUUGACAUCCUCUCACAGCACGUGAGCCUCAUGUGAAUAAAAAAGUUCAAAAAAGAAAUGGGCCCCCCGCCAAUGUGAGUGUCGAUCAUCCAUUAUGUCAAAAAAAUUCUGUCACCAUAGCAUUGUUGAAGAAAAUACAGAAGAUUUGGUAACUGGAAGGCAAUUACCCCUUUCAACUUCUUUCAAAAUUUAUAUAUAUAUAUAUAGAAAGAAUGGUAGAAACCACAGGACCUUCCAAAAAAUCAUCACGAUAAAUGAG